UACAGAGGGGGCUAGCGUUGUUCGGAAUUACUGGGCGUAAAGGGCGCGUAGGUGGCCUGUUAAGUCGGAUGUGAAAUCCCCAGGCUCAACCUGGGAACUGCAUCCGAUACUGGAUGGCUUGAAUUCGGGAGAGGGAUGCAGAAUUCCAGGUGUAGCGGUGAAAUGCGUAGAUAUCUGGAGGAACACCGGUGGCGAAGGCGGCAUCCUGGACCGAUAUUGACGCUGAGGAGCGAAAGCCAGGGGAGCAAACGGG
rnacentral:rRNA from 1 species